GUGCCCUCAGCCUCCCGACGGGGGCGGCUUAGCCAGAGACAGUAAGGGGACGGGGAUCAGAGCGCCGCUGGGUGUGUGUGUGUGUGUGUGUGUGUGUGUGUGUGUGUGUGUGUGUGUGAGAGAGAGAGAGAGACAGACAGACAGACAGCCCAAACCCAGAGAAGGAUCUGCGUAGAGGUGUGUGUGGGCAGAGGGAGGGAGACGGGUGGGGGGGGCGUGGGCAAUAAAAACGAAAAGAGAAACUCUUAGAAAGUUACUAUUGAAACUACAUUACAUCAUGCUGAUUCUUCCUGCUACGCAUUCUUUUUUUUCUUUUUUAAUUGUUUAAUGGAGGGGGGUGCAAAAACCGUGUUUGCUGAUCAGCUUCUGGAGAGGCUGGAACAAGGCCGUGAGGCACAGACUCUGCUCUGGCCACAUGUGGUCUGGGCAGUGGGCAGGACACCACGUUUUGGCCUCAUCGCUCCAUGCAGGCCAGUGCCAGGAACUGGGAUGGCUGCCAAGGCCAAAUUGAUAUACAGGAGAUGCCAACACAGUCUCAAGUGUCCACCUGAUACAAGUAGCUCACUCUUCAUCAACAUCUCUCUCCAACCCAUUGUCCAGUCCCUUCCAUGUCUGAUGAGUUGUCUUCGGGAAUGGUUCCUGUCCUGGGCCAACAGAAGGUUUGGGGACCAUGACCGCCGGGAUUCUUCUAGUCUCAGUCAGACCAUUAAGUAUGGUCUUUUUAUGAGAAUUUGGGGUCUGCAUCCCACUGAUCUCCUGCUCCCUCAGGGGUUCUCUGUUGUGCUCCCUGUCAGGGCAGUCAUCAGUUGUGGCCAGACACCAUCUAGUUCUUCUGGUCUCAGGAUGAUAUAAGUCUCUGGUUCAUGUGGCCCUUUCUGUCUCUUGGGCUCAUAGUUGUCGUGUGACCUUGGUGUUCUUCAUUCUCCUUUGAUCCAGGUGGGUUGAGACCAAUUGAUGCAUCUUAGAUGGCCGCUUGUUAGCAUUUAAGACCCCAGAUGGCACAUUUCAAAGUAGGAUGCAGAAUGUUUUCAUAAUAGUAUUAUUUUGCCAAUUGACUUAGAAGUCCUCUUAAGCCAUAGUCCCCAAACCCCCGCCCUUGCUCCGCUGACCUUUGAAGCAUUCAGUUUAUCCCGGAAACUUCUUUGCUUUUGGUCCAGUCCAUUUGAGCUGACCUUCUGUGUAUUGAGUAUUGUCCUUCCCUUCACCUAAAGUAGUUCUUAUCUACUAACUAAUCAGUAAAAAACCCUCUCCCACCCUCCC